rnacentral:rRNA from 1 species
AUUGAACGCUGGCGGCAUGCUUUACACAUGCAAGUCGAACGGCAGCACGGGCUUCGGCCUGGUGGCGAGUGGCGAACGGGUGAGUAAUAUAUCGGAACGUACCCAUAAGUGGGGGAUAACGUAGCGAAAGUUACGCUAAUACCGCAUACGAUCUAUGGAUGAAAGCAGGGGACCGCAAGGCCUUGUGCUCCUGGAGCGGCCGAUAUCUGAUUAGCUAGUUGGUGAGGUAAAGGCUCACCAAGGCGACGAUCAGUAGCUGGUCUGAGAGGACGACCAGCCACACUGGAACUGAGACACGGUCCAGACUCCUACGGGAGGCAGCAGUGGGGAAUUUUGGACAAUGGGCGCAAGCCUGAUCCAGCAAUGCCGCGUGAGUGAAGAAGGCCUUCGGGUUGUAAAGCUCUUUUGUCAGGGAAGAAACGGUAGAGGCUAAUAUCCUUUGCUAAUGACGGUACCUGAAGAAUAAGCACCGGCUAACUACGUG